GACGAACGCUGGCGGCGUGCCUAAUACAUGCAAGUUGAGCGCUGAAGGUUGGUACUUGUACCAACUGGAUGAGCAGCGAACGGGUGAGUAACGCGUGGGGAAUCUGCCUUUGAGCGGGGGACAACAUUUGGAAACGAAUGCUAAUACCGCAUAAAAACUUUAAACACAAGUUUUAAGUUUGAAAGAUGCAAUUGCAUCACUCAAAGAUGAUCCCGCGUUGUAUUAGCUAGUUGGUGAGGUAAAGGCUCACCAAGGCGAUGAUACAUAGCCGACCUGAGAGGGUGAUCGGCAACAUUGGGACUGAGACACGGCCCAAACUCCUACGGGAGGCAGCAGUAGGGAAUCUUCGGCAAUGGACGAAAGUCUGAACGAGCAACGCCGCGUGAGUGAAGAAGGUUUUCGGGUCGUAAAACUCUGUUGGUAGAGAAGAACGUUGGUGAGAGUGGAAAGCUCAUCAAGUGACGGUAACUACCCAGAAAGGGACGGCUAACUACGUG
rnacentral:rRNA from 1 species